rnacentral:lncRNA from 1 species
CUGUCGUGCCCACCUUUGAGUGGUGCCUUUGUUUUAACCUUUUUCGCAUACACAAAAAUGAAUCAGCAUGCAUUUCACUAUUCUAAGCCCAUCAAAGCCCCGGACUCAGCCACACUGGGAGAGAAAUCACCUGACUUCAGCUGGGGGAACCACCCCUGCUUCCCCUCUCCACAAGGAGCUGUUUCGUCGCUCAAUAAAAUUCUUCGCCCUCCUCACCCUUCAAUUGUCAGCAUAUCCCCAUUCUUCCCGGAUGUGGGACAAGGACUUGGAAACCGUCAAAUGUGGAUACGAGCUAUAAUAAAGUUCUUAGGUCUUGAGACCAAAAGGAGCCACACUAAUGGAGUAACCACUACUUAUCAACUACAGAUUCUGGGCUUUGAGCAAAUACAUCAGCACCAGCUGAAGAAGAAAGGGAAGUAGAUAUGGAGCACUGCAAAUUUGCUUCUGCGCAAAAGGAAAAGGCAGCUGAAAAACAGUUUUGGCAAAUUAAAUUGCAAAUGAUUCAGCCCCAUCAAGCUAGUCAAUGAGAAAAAAAAAGGACAAAUUUUUAUUCCGACAUGAAAAUUGCAGAGCCGGAGGAAAAUUGAAGACUAUUAGUUAACAGUUUAAAUGAAUCAAGACAAAUUUUUUUCAGAUAGUUUUCUAACACCUUAUAGUACUUCCAAGUUGACUAAUUGAGUAUUUAUUGACCUAUAAAUUUUAUUUAACUUAAUCUGUAAUUUAAAAUUUUAUUAUUUUAUUUAUUUUAUUAUUUUAUUUUGAGAUGGAGUCUCUCUCUGUCGCCCAGGCUGGAGUACGGUGGCACGAUCUCGGCUCACUGCAACCUCCACCUCCUGGGUUUGAGUGAUUCUUGUGCCUCAGCCUCUGGAGUAGCUGGGACUACAGGUGUACACCACCAUGCCUGUCUAAUUUUUGUAUUUUUCAUAGAGAUGGGGUUUUGUCAUGUUGGCCAGGUUGGUCUUGAACUCCUGACCUCAGGUGAUCUGCCUGCCUCAGCCUCCCAAAGUGCUGGGAUUACAGGUAUUUUCUAUUUUAAAUGCACUUCUUGCUUUUCAUUUGCUAACCUCUAUAUUUCUUAAAAAAAUCCCAUUAGUGGAAGGAUUCAGAUAUUCUCUGCCUUCCAUGUUAUUUUCUUUAUAUUGAGCAAACAGAUUUCGUAAUAAAUACUUAACUGAUAAUCAUAAUAACUAGGACUGACUAUACUAUAAAAUCUUCAAUAUGAGAUUGGGAACUCAUUUUAUCUUGCUAUAUAUCAGUUUCCUAAUUUGUAAAACGAAGAUAGUAAUAACUCACCUUCAUUAUCCUAGAGGAUGUUGGUAAGAUACAAGAGAAACAAAAUGCUUUCAUACGUACAAAUUAAAGCACUCCCCAUGCAAUAGCAAAGUGAUGUGGGUUUUUUUAAUUUGUUUUGUGUUUUUUUCAAAUAUAUUUCCAAAUUUUAAAUCCCUUGGAGCUCUAAGUCACAAAUGGCUCAUUCUUGAAGCCUCCAAUUACUUUUCCAGAUCUCACUGAGCAGUCCUACCUUUGAGCUCUGGCACCAUUCAACACUUAUUAACACUUAAUGUUAAAGAGACAAAUGAUUCACAUUUUUCAAAAGAAAAUAUUUAUAUGAAACUGCAAGUCUUUCGAAAAUAUAUGGCUUGAAUGCUACAAUUAUAAUGUUAAAAUUAUAUUAAAAUGGAAAUGAAUCAAAAAAUCUUCUAAUUAGGGAACUGAGAAUUACAUUAGGGGACCAAUGCUGAAUUACAUUAGAGGACCAAUGUUGAGUGUUUCUAAGGAGGCUGUUUCUAAACCAAGCAACCUGAUGACCAUCUAUGUUAUGUUAAAAGAUUCCAAAGUUAAGGAUAAGGCACAUAUAUAAUUGAUACAGGAGACGGACAGGGAAGUGCUGGGUAGAGAAGAGUGGGGUCACUAGUGAGGGCUCCACCCUUGGGCCUGUGCCCUCGGACGUAAGAGAGAAUAGGCACUCAUGUUUUCAUGUCCACAUGUUGCAUUUUCAAAGACCAUUCUGGCUAACCACACCCCUCAUCCUGUGCCCAUAUAAACCUGAGACCUUAGCGGUCACACAUACAAGUGGCUGAACAUCAAGAAGAGCAGAGGAACAGAGUGGCAGAACAGUGGGGAGGAUCGCCUUCCCACUCCAUCGUCCCUUUCCAGUUCCCCACCCAUCCAGCUGAAAGCCACUUGCACCACUCAGUAAAACCUCACAUUUAGCCUUUGAGUCCGUAUGUGACCCGAUUUUUUCUGGGAAGCUGGACAAGAGCUCGGGACACAGAAACCUGUCACACUUGCCCUCUGUCCUUGCAAAAAGGCAGAGGGUCCAUUGAGCUGAUUAACACAAAAACUGUCUACAGAUGGCAAAGCUGAAAGAGCUUUGUAACAAUGGGGUCGCAGGCACCCACUCCUAGACGCUAGCCGGAGAGCUUGCUCCAGUCUCUGCACCUGCCUGUCUGCAAGCUCCCACUUCCUCAAGGGGUUUGAACUGUGGGGUGACAGAACAGGUGGGCCACACCUCUGUUGCACGUCCUGUGAGGGGAACCAAGGAACUCUCCCAUUUCAUAAUGGUUGUCUAUACCAGUGUUGACUCAUCUUAAAAGCUGAAAAUGUUUGCUAACCCAUAGAGUAUAUGGUAGAUUGUUUUAUUUGUUUAGUGUGCUUCCUUUCUUUCCUUCUUGCCAUGCUUCCCUUUAGGUAAAUUUUUUAAUGGCCUCGAGAUAAACAUGCUCUUAUUCUCGUGUUAUUUGGGAGAAAAUAUGGUCUUUGAAGAGUCAAUUAAGAAUCUUGAGUUUGGGAGAUUAUUUUGGGUAAUCUUGUGUAGAGCCUUAAAUGCCAUGUAUAAGAGGAAGACAGCAGGAGAUUUGAUGUGUACAUACAAAGAAGUCAAUGUGAAGACAAAGACAAAGGCUGGAGUGAUGUGGCCACAAGCCUAGGAAUGCUGACAGCCCUCAGAAACUGAAAGAGGCAAAGAACAGUUUCUUCCCUAAAGCCCCUGGAGGGAUUGCUGCCCAGCCAACAUAUUGAUGUCAGCUCCAGGACACUGAAUUCAGACUUCUGUCCUCUGGAACUGUGGGAGAACAAAUUUCUGUGAUUUUAAGCCAUCCAGUUUGUGGUAAUUUGUUAUGGCAGCUAUAGGAAACUAAUACAGAAACUACACUUUCCUGCUUCAUUGAUUUUGUACUUGGCCCUGUGACUUGCUUUGGCUAAUGGAGUAUGAGCAGAUGUUUAUAGAUGUCAUGUCCCAGCAGAAACUUUAAAUGCUUUUUUUAGCUGCCUGUCUUAUUCCUGUCCUCCUUCAUUAGAACAUAUCCCAGGUAGAGGGAUAUCUGGAAACUUCAGUCUGAGUUUCAGAAAAAGAAACACAUGGAUUGAGGCCCAGCCAAGUGCAAUCAAGCACAACCAAGCCAACAAGUUAAGCCAAGAUUAGAUGAACCUAGCAGAACUACAGCAUAUCUGGGCUGGGCAUGCGGUGGCUCACGCCUGUAAUCUCAGCACUUUGGGAGCCCGAGGAGGGCAGAUCACAAGGUCAGGAGAUCGAGACCAUCCUGGCUAACACAGUGAAACCCGUCUCUACUAAAAAUACAAAAACAAAAUUAGCCGGGCGUGGUGGCGGGCGCCUGUAGUUCCAGCUACUCGGGAGGCUGAGGCAGGAGAAUGGCGUGAACCCAGGAGGUGGAGCUUGCAGUGAGCCGAGAUCUCGCCACUGCACUCCAGCUUGGGCGACAGAGCCAGACUCCGUCUCAAAAAAAAAAAAAAGAACUACAGCCUAUCUGUGGUCCUCAUGUAAUGUGAACAAGAAAUAAAUAUUGUCAUAAAAUAUAAAGAUUUUGGUGUUACCUAUUGCUCCAGCCAAAGGUGAAUAAUAGUACAUAUCAUCAACCGUUGAUGAAUAUUGUACUCCCUCUUUUUGUUUUAAUUUAUUAUUAUUAUUUUUUAAAAUUAUCCUUUAAGUACAGAGAUGUUUUUUCUAAUUAAAUGUUGUCUUUCUGCUGCCAUUCUCUAGUGUAAUGAAUAUUCAGCAUUCUCAAGAUAAUAGGCCCUGAAGUGCUUGAAGGAGAGUAAUAAUCAUUUCCUAGUCUUCCCUUCUUUAUCAUAAUUGACCCCAACUUUAAAAAUAUUCCCCAAUUUUAACAAUGUUUUAUUAUUCUGAUAGUCUGGGAUGGUAAUAUCUCUCUGGAGAUGUGGAAACUCUACUCUUUAUUUACAUUUGUGACCAUAACUAGACAGCUUAGUUUAUAUUCAAAGAUAUCUAAAAGACAACAGAUGAAGCAUUUCUUCACUUAUAGCAUAUACUUUUCUUUCUUCAUUUUUUUUGUUCCAACUUUCAUUUUUCUUUUUCAGAUCUCCACAUUCAACAAUUCUGAUUCUUCCUAAAAUCUAUUUUCUUUUCCUUCAAAAUUUAUUUUUCAAUUUCUG